rnacentral:rRNA from 1 species
UACGGAGGGUGCAAGCGUUAUCCGGAUUCACUGGGUUUAAAGGGUGCGUAGGUGGGCAGGUAAGUCAGUGGUGAAAUCUCCGGGCUUAACUCGGAAACUGCCAUUGAUACUAUCUGUCUUGAAUACCGUGGAGGUCAGCGGAAUAUGUCAUGUAGCGGUGAAAUGCUUAGAUAUGACAUAGAACACCAAAUGCGACGGCAGCUGGCUACACGAAUAUUGACACUGAUGCACGAAAGCGUGGGGAUCAAACAGG